rnacentral:tRNA from 1 species
GGUGGUGUAGCUCAGUAGGAUAGAGCAGCAGCCUUCUAAGCUGUCGGUCGGUGGUUCGAAUCCACCCACCAUCG